UUAAUUCAUACAUCUUAUUUAAUUUCUGUUGUUUUCUCUUUAAUUUUUAUUUGAUGUUAAGAUUAAGGGGGAUUAGCUCCUUGUUUUAUUUUUAUAAUUUGUGUUAUGAUGAAAAUUUAGUUUUGUGGAUUUUAUAGUGAUUUUCUAUUUGAUUAUGUUAAAAUUUUAUUUAUUCUUUUAUUUAUUUUUUGUUGUUUAAGUUUUUAUUGAAAUGUUUAUUUUAUUUUUAGUUUUGUAUAGUAAUUAUUGUGGAAUUAGUAAAUUUUACUUCUAUAUUUAGUAUGGAUUGGAUGAUAAUUAUUUUUGAGGAAUUCGGCAAAGUUUCAUGUUCGCCUGUUUAACAAAAACAUCUUUUCUUGUUAGUUUAUGAAGUAUGGCCUGCCCACUGACUUUUAUGUUGAAGGGCCGCGGUAUUUUGACCGUGCAAAGGUAGCAUAAUCAUUAGUUCUUUAAUUGUGAUCUGGUAUGAAUGGCUUGACGAGGCAUGAUCUGUCUUAAGAUGUAUUGUUUAUUGAAUUUGAUUUUUGAGUUAAAAUACUUAAAUGUUUUUAUGGGACGAGAAGACCCUAUAGAGUUUGACUUUUUUCUUAUUUAUUUUUUGUUUGUUCUAUAUGUUGAGUGAGGAUAAUAGUUUUGUUGGGGUGAUGGGAGGAAUUUAUUUAACUCCUCUUUGUUAUAUUGUAUAUUUAUUUAUGUUUUUUUGAUCCAUUUAUUUUGAUUAUAAGAUUAAAUUACC
rnacentral:rRNA from 1 species